CUGGUGGCCUGUCCCCUUUGAGAACGACGAAAACACUUUCCUAAGACCCUUGUUACUGUCACUCCCUGGAAUUCAGCCAGCUGGAACAGCCUGUGCCUGCUCCAGGGGUGAUGGAGCCCAGCCUGGUGUUUGCAGGGGUUGAGGAGAGAGGUGGUUUGGAUACCCUGGAUGUUGGAAUCCCUGUGCCAGGGAGACUGUGGCACUCCCAGACUUGUGCACGCUAUUUCCCUAUGAUUUAUUGUAAUCCUAAUGGAGCAGCUGAGGGAAAUUGGCAGGGUUGGGAUGGGGGAGGAGGAGAGGGGCUCGUUACCCUGGGAGUAACAGAGCGUCUGACUCCGACUGGGAGCCCAACAGGAGCAGGGCUUUGGAGCAGCGGGAUUGGAUGUGCUGCGCCUGGGGGCGGUGGCAAUGACAACAAACUGAAUAAUAAUAAAAAGCUUCCCAUGUUCCCAGCUAUUCCUGGAGCCUUGUUCCUUGUCCAAAUUCCCCAGAGGAGGGGUUGGUUUGCUGUUAGGUUUAGGAGAAUCCUUAACCCUGGAAUCUGUUGGCUUUUUUUCAGGUCAAGCAGCUGGAUGGGCUCUUUGUUGAUGGAAUCCUUCCUGACACGUUUCUGGGAUCUCCAGAGCUCCAAGGCUGCCUACAAUGGUCCAGACUUUUCCUGGGAGCUGAUAUGGAGAAUUCCACGGCUGUGGUGUGGGACAGCCCCACGCCGUAUCCGUGUGUUGAGGAAUGAUGCUCCAGCUGCAAGAACACCACAAAAUUCCCUCUCCCUCAUAUUCCCAGGUCAUUCCUGCACAAAGGGCACAGAUCCAUCCAGAGGUGUAGGAUUCCCAGGAAUGUGUGCACAUCACCACGCCAUGGCUCCAGGCACUUAAACCCAGACUCAACCCUUUUCCACAGGCUGGGAAGCUCUGAAAUGAAUGGAUUUGCUCCAGAGGUUGGAGGUAGGGACAGAUCCAUGAGAAAAUCAUGGGAAAUCACGUCUUUUGUGACAGGCUCAAAUUAAUUCUUUAAUUCCCUUAAAUGGUUCGCCACUCACCCUCUGUGUCAUGACAGCAGGGGAAAAAUGGGAUUUCUGAGGGCAUUAAUCCCUCCCUUAAUGCUUUAGAGGGCAUCCAGUUUAUCCAAAACAUUCCAAAAUUGCCUGUAAAUGGUGUCACUGCCACACAGGAGUCAGGCAGCAGAGCCCUGGGGGUCACUGGGAUGAAUCCCAAGGCUGGAGCUGGGCUAUAAAUGCGGUCUGGCCUUUGCAAUUCGGUGGAGCCAGGCUGGAAACAGGCAGCUGGAGCUGCUGGAAUGCAGAAAUCCUGAGCUGUAUCGGAUUAAUCGCCUUGUGUCCCUUAAUUGGCAGGAUCUGGGCUGGGAUGUGCUCUACCCCACCGCUUGGAAAGCCUCGGAUGGCUUCUGAUUGUAUUUCCCCGAAUAAAAGAGUAAUUUCCAGUC